AGACGAGAGAAACAGGGGAGUAAGGCGGCCGUUUCUGCAAGUAGCGAUCUGCCUUCCCAUGGCAUCUUCUGAGGGCCUGCCACCGCAUCGACCACUUGGAGACAAUCUAUCUCGAUGAUGAGGGGGUCAUUUGACUUCCCGAUCCGCAGAAGAUGGCGCAAGGCUACAUUCAAAGCUUGUACUUCGAUCUGCAAGGCGGAGGAUGCUGUGGCUUCACAGGCUCCAUCUAUGUUGAUCUUCAGCAUACUAGGAUCGGGGGGCCGCCACAGAGACCCUGGAUCCGUUCAAGUUGGGAUGGAGCCUGUCGUGGUUGACCGCAGAUGCUUCGCCAAGCUGGAGGUGGUCCGGGCCGCUUCCACAACAAAGAGGGGAUCUGGUUUCUGACGAUGAAAGAUAAAGCGGUUCCAUGCUUUCUAGACUUGCCAGAGGAUAACAGCAACAACCUCCAUACCUGGUAAAGAGGAGGAUGCAGCGAUCUCAACAUAGUGGUGGAGGACGAGAUUUUUUUUCCUUUUUGAAAAAUAUGAGAUCAAUAAGACUAGCAGUACCAACAGCACAAAUUUUUUUAAUGACGUGCAGACGUUGCUUUCUACUUUGUUAUUUUUUUUCUUUUUGUAGGAUUGAAGUGAUUUGAUGUUGUUAUGUACUGAUAUGGAUUAAUGCAUGUCAAACUUAAAAUUGUGAUGCUUCAUUG